rnacentral:rRNA from 1 species
AUACAGAGGGUGCGAGCGUUAAUCGGAAUUACUGGGCGUAAAGCGCGCGUAGGCGGUUACUUAAGUCAGAUGUGAAAUCCCCGGGCUCAACCUGGGAACUGCAUCUGAUACUGGGUAGCUAGAGCUUAGGAGAGGGAAGUAGAAUUUCAGGUGUAGCGGUGAAAUGCAUAGAGAUCUGAAGGAAUACCAGUGGCGAAGGCGGCUUCCUGGUCAAAAACUGACGCUGAGGUGCGAAAGCGUGGGUAGCAAACGGGAUUAGAAACCCGUGUAGUCC